GAGUUUGAUCGUGGCUCAGAACGAACGUUGGCGGCGUGCUUAACACAUGCAAGUCGAACGAGAACGGUUUCUUCGGAGACCUAGUAAAGUGGCGCACGGGUGAGUAACACGUAGGUAACCUGUCCAGGUGUUCGGGAUAGCCCUUCGAAAGGGGGGAUUAAUACCGGAUACGUUAGUCUGUUAUAAGGCAGAUUAAGAAAGGUGGCCUCUAUUUAUAAGCUAUCGCAUUUGGAGGGGUCUGCGUACCAUUAGUUUGUUGGUGGGGUAAAGGCCUACCAAGACUUCGAUGGUUAGCGGGUCUGAGAGGAUGAUCCGUCACACUGGCACUGAAACACGGGCCAGACUCCUACGGGAGGCAGCAGUGAGGAAUAUUGCGCAAUGGGGGAAACCCUGACGCAGCGGCGCCGCGUGGGUGAGGAAGGCUUUCGGGUCGUAAAGCCCUGUCAGAAGGAAGAAAUGUGUAUAGGUUAAUAUCUUAUACAUUUGACGGUACCUUCAAAGGAAGCACCGGCUAACUCCGUGCCAGCAGCCGCGGUAAC
rnacentral:rRNA from 1 species